UGCUCUUCAGAUCUGUUGGAUGUGUUGCUGCCGACCCGAACUGCCUGAGGUCUUCCAGUCAGAAAGUCCAACAGCCACAAAUGUUAAUCAAA